UAUAAUACCGGAUAGGUCUUGGAUGCUGGAAUGCACCGAGGCCCAAAGCUCCGGCGUCUGAGGAUGGGUCUGCGGCCUAUCAGGGUAGUAGUGGGUGUAAAGUACCUACUAGCCUACGACGGGUACGGGUCGUGAGAGCGAGAGCCCGGAGAUGGAUUCUGAGACACGAAUCCAGGCCCUACGGGGUGCAGCAGGCGCGAAAACUUUACAAUGCCGGCAACGGCGAUAAGGGGACCUCGAGUGCCAGGAUACAAUCCUGGCUGUCGUAAUGCCUAAAAAGCAUUAUAUAGCAAGGGCCGGGCAAGACCGGUGCCAGCCGCCGCGGUAACACCGGCGGCUCGAGUGGUAACCGCUAUUAUUGGGUCUAAAGGGUCUGUAGCCGGCCUGGUAAGUCUUUUGGGAAAUCCGGCAGCUCAACUGUCGGGCUAUCAGAGGAUACUGCUAGUCUCGAGACCGGGAGAGGUGAGAGGUACUUCAUGGGUAGGGGUGAAAUCUUGUAAUCCUUGAAGGACCACCAGUGGCGAAGGCGUCUCACCAGAACGGAUCUGACGGCAAGGGACGAAAGCUAGGGGCACGAACCGGAUUAGAUACCCGGGUAGUCCUAGCCGUAAACGAUACUCGCUAGGUGUCGGCCACGGUGCGACCGUGGUCGGUGCCGUAGGGAAGCCGUGAAGCGAGCCACCUGGGAAGUACGGCCGCAAGGCUGAAACUUAAAGGAAUUGGCG
rnacentral:rRNA from 1 species